rnacentral:tRNA from 1 species
AUAUUUCUAGUAUAAAUUUAAGUACAAUUGACUUCCACUCAUUUAAUCUUGGUUCAAAUCCAGGGAAAUAUA